ensembl:snRNA LOC120098415 U2 spliceosomal RNA
AUCGCUUCUCGGCCUUUUGGCUAAGAUCAAGUGUAGAAAUGGUAUGUAAAUCCAGGUUAUUAACUUGAACAGGAACAUCAUAUUCCUUCAUUUUCUUCAAAUUCUGUAAUUACCAAAGAAUGCUUCUUGCAUUUUGUUAGUUAAUAGUAAAUCUGAUGUCUGUGACUGAAAUGGCUAAAAGAGG